UCUAUGAAAAUAAUGUAGUGAUCGCUUCCCAAGUCUUGCAUGGUGUUUGUCUAAGUGACUUUGCGUGUGUUGCACGUAAAAGUAAGGUCCGGCGUCGUGUCAGUGCUGAUGCUGUUGCCCUGCCUUGUUGGUGCCGUGGGGUCGGCGACCAGCUCGAGUCCGCCGUAUUGCGCCGUUGCCCAUAGAUGCGUGCCUUUGGGUUAAUCGUGCUUGUAACCCCACGCCGUGUGCACCGCGUUGAAGUGCCCCCCAAUGAACAGCUGUUGCCCCUGGGCAAUGUUGAUUGCCCGUUUGAAGAGGUCAUGGAAGCGGUGCUGGCGGCAUCUGGGACUGCUGUAGACGUUGAGGAUGAAGAUGCUGUUGCGCGUCUUCCGUGGUGGAAUCAAUUCUACGAGGACGUUUUCAAUGUCGCUGAUUUUGGUGUCGUGUUCAAUAGCUGUGUGCGCUCGCUUGAUCAGCGUGGUGACGUUUGGUUUCUCCGCCUUGCCUGUUAUAGACUGGUACCCCGCGAGUUUGGCGGGACCGUUCGUUUCCUGCAGUAUGAUGACGUCUGGGCGUUCGGGGAUCGUUUUCAGGUAUUGUUGAGACGCCCAUCGCUGACGUGCCUGUACCGAAGACGCCAGAGCCGUUAUCAACACCUGCCGCCAUGGUCCGGCAGCUGCCGCUGAAGCAUAUGCUCUAAACGCGGCUCGAGCCAUGACCGACGGUACUGACAGCUUGAGUUAUUCAGCACGCACAGCUGCUAUACCCACUGCUGCCGCUCUGGCGUCGUCAUAUGCUUCCUACGGCCCCAUCUGACAUGUAUCAGAGCAGCUGGAGGUCUUCUCGGGCCAGAUAAUGAUGAGCGCGGAGAACUGGAUCUCUUAUUUCUCGACGCACCUGCUGCGUUUCUCACGCGUAACGGUGUGACGUGUGCUUCCAAUGGGAUUUCCCGCUUGAACUGGCUACAGUAAAGUGAAGCCGCGAUAAUGUAGCAGUUAUAUUUCGAUUCUAUUUGCCAUGCAUCGUCAGUAGGCCUAGCUGCACUCCGCCAAAGUUGCCACCAGGAUCACCUGGUUGUUAGCUGCGGAUGAUAAUGGAACAGACUGGAAAAUCGAGCGAAAGGAACCUUUACAUUACACGCAGGCCCAAUAUUAGCUGAUCUAUGGGCUGACUCCGGGGAUGGGCCAGAUACGUUGAAAUUUUAUUUUGAAUAUAAGAUACCCGAUACACAUUACUGUUGCUGUUCUUAGAUAUUUCAGCACAUUCGUCCAAAGCUUGUUCCAGUGCAGCUGUAGUUUCGGUGCCCCUGGAAGCUACCAUUGACAAUUGGCUUGUAAAUUUAAGUGCUGCUGAUUGUCACACUACGUCGUUCUAUGUUUUACGAAUAAGACGAAGCAAGUUUUUUCGAUGGCUUAAGCGACACACGUCACAGAGAAACAUGGUACGUUCCUAAAGCACGCACUAACUACGCCACGCACUGCCAUCUUUUUUUGUAAACUCAUUAGAAACUCAAUAGACACCUACCUCUCCUUUUAAUGGGCUCAUUGUGGAUUCCUUCUUUUUUUUUGCUCUGGUAUACACUGACGCCAUGAAGGCUUAACUAAUUUUCUCUGCUUGUAAACAACUUAUUAUUUAUAGAUGUGAAUUUCAAGGCUAUAUUAUUUGUAUCAUUUUAUACUAUUCGCUCUCUGUAAUAUAAUUUCUUGCACCAUUCUAUUGUUGAUUUUUUUACCCGUGUCCAUUUCUGUUAUACAAUGUUCACUAAUGUUCACUUUUUUUUCUCGUUUAUCCAUUAUUGUAUGUUUGUGUUCUCUUUAUUGUGCACAGUACCAUUUCUGUAGGGGGUACAGACCCCGUCAAGCCGAAUUCAUUUGGCUUUUUCUCUGUACUCCUGUCAUCUGUACAUGUAUAGAUGCAAAUAAAUUUGAAUUGAAUUGCGGCCCGUUA